rnacentral:rRNA from 1 species
AGCUUUUUGAAUUUAUAAAAAGUAAUUUCUGCCCGGUGUUUUUAUUAACGGCUGCGGUACUCUGACCGUGCGAAGGUAGCAUAAUCACUUGCCUUUUAAUUGGAGGCUGGUAUGAAUGGGAUCACAGAAAAUAAACUUUCUUUUAGUUAUUUUUAUAAAUUUUUGUUGAAGUGAAGAAACUUUAUUUUAAAAAAAAGACAAGAAGACCCUAUCGAGUUUUAUUUUUCUUAGAAAUUUUUCUUUUUUAUUUAUAAAUAAAGUUAUUUUUUAGUAAAAAUUGGAUUGGGGCGAUUUGGGAAAUAUUUUUAACUUCCUUUUUUUGAUUUUAUUUUUAUUUUUUUAUAGAUCCUUUUUUAAAGAUUUUUAGAUUUAAUUACCGUAGGGAUAACAGCGUAAUCUUUUUGGAGAGUUCUUAUCGAUAAAAGGGAUUGCGACCUCGAUGUUGGACUAAGAUAAUCUUAAGGUGCAGAAGCUUUAAAAGAUGGGUCUGUUCGACCUUUAAAAUCUU